GAUGAACGCUGGCGGCGUGCCUAAUACAUGCAAGUCGAGCGAACAUAUUAGGAUCUUGCUCCUUUGACGUUAGCUGCGGACGGGUGAGUAACACGUGGAUAACCUACCUAUACGACUGGGAUAACUUCGUGAAACCGGAGCUAAUACCGGAUAACAUAUAUAACCGCAUGGUUCAAUAGUGAUAGGCGGCUUUGCUGUCACUUAUAGAUGGAUCCGCGCCGUAUUAGCUAGUUGGUAAGGUAACGGCUUACCAAGGCAACGAUACGUAGCCACUCUGAGAGGGUGAUCGGCCACACUGGAACUGAGAAAGGGUCCAGACUCCUAGAGUGGGAAGCAGUAGGGAAUCUUACGCAAUGGGCGAAAGCCUGACGGAGCAACGCCGCGUGAGUGAUGAAGGUGUUCGGAUCGUAAAACUCUGUUAUCAGGGAAGAAGAAAAGUGUAAGUAACUGUGAAGAUCUUGACGGUACCUGAUGAGAAAGCCACGGCUAACUACGUG
rnacentral:rRNA from 1 species